AUUGAACGCUGGCGGCAGGCCUAACACAUGCAAGUCAAGCGGAUGAGAGGAGCUUGCUCCUCGAUUCAGCGGCGGACGGGUGAGUAAUGCCUAGGAAUCUGCCUAGUAGUGGGGGACAACGUUUCGAAAGGAACGCUAAUACCACAUACGUCCUACGGGAGAAAGUGGGGGAUCUUCGGACCUCACGCCAUUAGAUGAGCCUAGGUCGGAUUAGCUAGUUGGUAGGGUAACGGCCUACCAAGGCGACGAUCCGUAACUGGUCUGAGAGGAUGAUCAGUCACACUGGAACUGAGACACGGUCCAGACUCCUACGGGAGGCAGCAGUGGGGAAUAUUGGACAAGGGGCGAAAGCCUGAUCCAGCCAUGCCGCGUGUGUGAAGAAGGCCCUCGGGUCGUAAAGCACUUUAAGUUGGGAGGAAGGGCUUACAGCGAAUACCUGUGAGUUUUGACGUUACCGACAGAAUAAGCACCGGCUAACUUCGUGCCAGCCGCCGCGGUAA
rnacentral:rRNA from 1 species